rnacentral:ncRNA from 1 species
UCCUUUGUUGCCAGCGGUUCGGCCGGGAACUCAAAGGAGACUGCCAGUGAUAAACUGGAGGAAGGUGGGGAUGACGUCAAGUCAUCAUGGCCCUUACGAGUAGGGCUACACACGUGCUACAAUGGCGUAUACAAAGAGAAGCGACCUCGCGAGAGCAAGCGGACCUCAUAAAGUACGUCGUAGUCCGGAUUGGAGUCUGCAACUCGACUCCAUGAAGUCGGAAUCGCUAGUAAUCGU